rnacentral:lncRNA from 1 species
CCACUUCAGAAUUCCCUCCUAGACACCUGUGUAUGAUUCCUGAAGGCUCUUCUGAGUAUUUCCUCCUCCUACCAUCAGAUGUGGGUUGAGAAAAGCCAGAGGGUUUUUCACACUAAAUAGAAUGCCUGAGAAAUGCAUUCACUUGACUAAUGGGUUAAAUUGAAGUUCUUUCAGCAGUCAGGAGUGGAAACUAUACAACAAGAAGACCGGACCUGGCCAUGUCAGGAGCUCUGGCACAGCAGCCUCCCAGGGGGACAGGAGACCUGUGCCAAGAGGUUGGCCCGGUGCUCCAGAGCACAGCCUCGAAUCUUCACCAAUGUUGCAUUUACAAGAGAAGUGGAUUGGGCUGGGGAUUUAGCUCAGUGGUUUCGCUACCGCCUGCCUCAAAAAUGCAAGGACCCAGGUAAAAAAACAAAAGCAAAAUCAAAAAACAAAACAAAAAACAACAAAACAGAAGAGGGUUUAUGGUGGGAGACUUAAUGUUAACUUGAGUGGCUCAAAGAUGAAUUAUACUGAUGUUGGGGUCACAUAAUAGCCCAAAGUGAAGAUCUCUCAGAAGCCACAUUUCUCUCUUCUUCCUCGCUCUAGCACUUCAGUCACCCCAAGGAAACCACUGAGGCUAGAAUCCCUCUCCCCCAAGAUGGGUCCUAGAGCCCAGAGCCUCCUCCCCAACCCAGCCAUAAAUUCUAAUCUAUUACUCUAGAUCCUCCCCUCCACAUCAAAACUGGCCACACAGUGGUCCUCUCUCUGCCUUACUGACCGUAGGUCCUAAGACCCCUCUAUUGUGCAGAGCCCUCCCGAAGGAAGAGAUUCUGCAGGGCCAGG